GACCUUAUGCUUUUGGAGCGGCCGAUGUCUGAUUAGCUAGUUGGUAAGGUAAAGGCUUACCAAGGCGACGAUCAGUAGUUGGUCUGAGAGGACGACCAGCCACACUGGGACUGAGACACGGCCCAGACUCCUACGGGAGGCAGCAGUGGGGAAUUUUGGACAAUGGGCGAAAGCCUGAUCCAGCAAUGCCGCGUGAGUGAAGAAGGCCUUCGGGUUGUAAAGCUCUUUCAGUUGAGAAGAAAAAGUUACGACUAAUAAUCGUGAUCCAUGACGGUAUCGACAGAAGAAGCACCGGCUAACUACGUGCCAGCAGCCGCGGUAAUACGUAGGGUGCGAGCGUUAAUCGGAAUUACUGGGCGUAAAGGGUGCGCAGGCGGUUCUGUAAGUCAGAUGUGAAAUCCCCGGGCUUAACCUGGGAACUGCGUUUGAAA
rnacentral:rRNA from 1 species